AAAAGAACCUAAGAAGAAAUGGCAGGUGUAAGGAGGGAAAUGAUCAACGGUGGGAAAAUUUCACGGAGGAUUGCCGGACGUCCGAUCCCAAGGAGGGGUCAAGUAAAAGUUGCUAUAUUGCUGGGGAUUGCCCAUUCUGUUGCUUCUAUUUUUUUCUCUAAGUAGUCGCAAGUUUGUUAAAUUUCUCCCCAAAAAAGUUUAAAAGAAGUGGGAGGGUCCUAGGAAUGAUGUGAGCCUGCUUUUUUGUUGUUCAUAUCAGUUUUGUACAAAGCUUAUAUUAAUAGCUUCCAGAAGUCAAUGAAUGAAAUUUCGUUCUGGCUUUUCCUUAUUAA